rnacentral:rRNA from 1 species
GACGAACGCUGGCGGCGUGCCUAAUACAUGCAAGUCGAACGCAGUGGGGACGGGUGAGUAACACGUGGGUAACCUCCCAUCAGAGGGGAUAACACUUGGAAACAGGUGCUAAACCGAUACUGAUGGAUGGACCCGCGGUGCAUUAGCUAGUUGGUGAGGUAACGGCUCACCAAGGCCACGAGGCAUAGCGGACCUGAGAGGUGUAUCUGCAAAAUGGGAACUGAGCCACGGCCCCGACUCCUACGGGAGGCAGCAGGAGGGAAUCUUCGGCAAUGGACGAAAGUCUGACCGAGCAACGCCGCGUGAGUGAAGAAGGUUUUCGGAUCGUAAAACUCUGUUGUUAGAGAAGCGGUAUCUAACCAGAAAGCCACGGCUAACUACGUGCCAGCAGCCGCGGUAAUUC